CUAGAAAGAAAAUGGAAUUGUGGUGAGAAUUUAUGUGAAUACCGAUGAGAAAUAUGAAACAAAGUAGCAGGUCAAUACUCUGCAUAAAUUUGAAAAUAAGAACAAUCUCACUCUUUUCAAUUCCUAAUACUUCUAGUUAAUUUCUGUGGAUAUUACAAGUAUAAUACAUAAUUAAAAUGUUAAUUGAACGUUAAGAAAUGAUAAUCAGGAAAUUAGAAUAAGUUAGUAAUCCCCGGGAGGGAAUCAAGGGCAGGAUAACACUCAGGACAGUUUAGUUAGUCCGUCAAUCACGGUGGAUACUUUUGUACCACGUUAUGGGAUUCGAGGAAUCUAAUUAUGUUACGAUUGUGAGCUUCAUGUCGUGCCGAUGCGUAUAAUUAUCGACGACGGAUAUGUCAUGUCAGGCCUCUGAGAUCAGCUCACCUCAGAGUAUCUUAGUUAUGUUAAAAUGAACAAGAUAAUAAUUCGUGGUACACAUUUAUGUUUUUAUGUUAUAUUAUGAAUUAUGUUAUGAAAAUUAUGUUAUGGACUGACAUUCAGGUACCCCGGUGUAGUCACCGUUAGUUGGGUAGUAAAACUCACUGAGGCUUAGUAGUCUCAUCCGACGCUUAUUCAUUAUUUUCAGAUAAGCAAGGUUCUCGUGGUAAGCGAGCAGAGGAGUAGUUGCUGCAGCUAGAUGCUUUAUGUUCCGGACUUUAUUGUCUAUUAUGCUGUCAUAUCAUGUUCUUUCCGUUUAAGUUGUAUCAGACUUAUGUAUCAAGUACCUACAUGUACAUAUCAAACUUCUUAUGUAUUAUAAUCUUUAUGUAUCCAGUACUUAAUUAUGAACGCUCUAGCUAUAUUCUAGACUAUUUAGCAUUGAGUGUUAUAGUCA
rnacentral:lncRNA from 1 species